rnacentral:lncRNA from 1 species
AGAACAAGGAAGGCGGCUGCACUGAGCACAGGGCUGCAAAACUUCCCAGAGACAACGGCGACUACUGCAUCUGCAGCAAAACAGGCUCAGCCAUAUCAGCUCUCACUCUGGAGAGUCUUGACAGGAUCGUGCUGGGAAGUGGGUUUGAAGUCAGGAAGCUCCUGUAUCCCUCUGAGCAUUAGGACUACAGCACACUGAUGUACACACCCAGCAGGUUCCAGCUUCCCGGUGCCGUGAUCUACUUAUCUCAGCCAGUCCCAGUGAUACAGAUCAGCUCACCACCUGGGAUGCCCUCUCCCUGUCUGACAGCUGAGCCCCACUCCCAUAUACCAGUUCGUCCAAAGCAUCCUCACAGACCACUCUGGUCCUGCAUUUCUGGUUCCUACUGCUAGUCCCUCUGGGAAGCAACCUGUAAUGUGUGCCCUGUGACAUCUCCCCUACUGCUGCCUUCUAUCAGAGUGUCACCAGUGUCUAGGCAUCUGGUCUGGGCUCCUCGGGGUUUAGGACUUUUUCUCAGUCUGCCAAAGCCUAGCACUGUGCUCGGUUCCCAACAAGGACUCAGCGUGUCCACUAUUUAUGAUUGAUGAAAAGACAGAUGGAAGUAAAGCCCUAACUCUGGUGGCCAAAAUACAGCUCUGGGAACACAA